rnacentral:rRNA from 1 species
AGCUGACGACCGGCGCACGGGUGAGUAACGCGUAUGCAACUUUCCUGUAACUGGAGGAUAGCCCCUGGAAACGGGGAUUAAUACUGCGUAAUACCUAAAUACCGCAUGGUAUUAAGGUCAAAUCUACGGAGGUUACAGAUGGGCAUGCGUGCCAUUAGCUAGAUGGUAAGGUAACGGCUUACCAUGGCAAUGAUGGCUAGGGGUUCUGCAAGGAAGGCCCCCCACACUGGUACUGAGACACGGACCAGACUCCUACGGGAGGCAGCAGUGAGGAAUAUUGGUCAAUGGAGGCAACUCUGAACCAGCCAAGCCGCGUGAAGGAAGACUGUCCUAUGGAUUGUAAACUUCUUUUGUGGCAGAAUAAACUACCGUACUUGUACGGUAUUGCAUGUAUGCCAUGAAUAAGCAUCGGCUAACUCCGUGCCAGCAGCCGCGGUAAUACGGAGGAUGCAGGCGUUAUCCGGAUUUAUUAGGUUUAAAGGGUGUUCAGGCUGCCUGGUAAGUCAGGGGUGAAAGUCGGUUGCUCAACGAUCGAAUUGCCUUUGAAACUGUCAGGCUCGAGUAUGGAUGCGGUAGGCGGAAUGUGUAGUGUAGCGGUGAAAUGCAUAGAUAUUACACAGAACACCGAUUGCGAAGGCAGCUUACCAAACCAGCACUGACGCUGAAGCACGAAAGCGUGGGGAGCGAACAGGAUUAGAUACCCUGGUAGUCCACGCCGUAAACUUUGCUCACUCGCUGUUGGCGAUAGACAGUCAGCGGCCAAGGGAAACCGAUAAGUGAGCCACCUGGGGAGUACGUCCGCUAAGCUUGAUACUCAAAAGGAAUUGACGGGGGCCCUCACAAUCGGUGGAACAUGUGGUUUAAUUCGAUGAUACGCGAGGAACCUUACCUGGGCUUAAAUGUGAAGUGCAUUGAUUGGAAACAAUCAUUUCAUUCGGGACCCUUUACAAGG